AAGGAUCAUUACUGAGAGGUUACUAAGACUCUUGGGUUGAGUUUCUUUACUCUUCUCUUGAGUUUCCUCACGGUUUUGUGCAAUGUUGGGUCACCUUGGUUGACUCUGCCCUAAGUUAUUGGGCUGGCCUUUGGGGCCCCUAGUAUGAUUUAUCAUACUAACCCCAGAGGUUAAUUUCUACUAUGUCUAUGAAUUGAUGUAUGAAAAAAGUUAUUUGUUAACUUGAAGGCUUUUGCUGUAAAAAGUGAGUCUUUAAAAACAACUCUUGGCAAUGGAUCUCUUGGUUCUCGCAUCGAUGAAGAGCGUAGCAAAGUGCGAUAAUUAUUGCGACUUGCAUUCAUAGUGAAUCAUCGAGUUCUUGAACGCAUCUUGCGCCUAGUAGUCAAUCUACUAGGCACAGUUGUUUCAGUAUCUGCAUCCACCAAUCAACACGACUUGCUUGUGUUGGAACUGGGCUUACUUUUGAUGGCAUUUAGUUGCUGUCAUGGCCUUAAAUGUAUUUAGUCCUAGGUGUUAACUUGUUAAUGCCGGAUGGAGACUCUAGAGUGCCUUAGAAGCAGCUUGGUUAGUGAGUUCAUAAUUCCAAGUGUUAGUCUUUUAUUGAACUGGGUUUCUAGUCUAUGGGACAUGGAGUCGUAAGACUCUUAAACAACAAACUCACAUUUAGAUCUGAAAUCAACUGAGACCACCCGCUGAACUUAA
rnacentral:rRNA from 1 species